UACGGGAGGCAGCAGUGGGGAAUAUUGCACAAUGGGCGCAAGCCUGAUGCAGCCAUGCCGCGUGUAUGAAAAAGGCCUUCGGGUUGUAAAGUACUUUCAGUCGUGAGGAAGGUGUUAAGGUUAAUAACCUUAGCAAUUGACGUUAGCGACAGAAGAAGCACCGGCUAACUCCGUGCCAGCAGCUGCGGUAAUACGGAGGGUGCGAGCGUUAAUCGGAAUUACUGGGCGUAAAGGGCACGCAGGCGGUUAAUUAAGUUGGAUGUGAAAUCCCCGGGCUUAACCUGGGAAUGGCAUUCAAGACUGGUUAGCUAGAGUCUUGUAGAGGGGGUAGAAUUCCAUGUGUAGCGGUGAAAUGCGUAGAGAUGUGGAGGAAUACCGGUGGCGAAGGCGGCCCCUGGACAAAGGCUGACGCUCAUGUGCGAAAGCGUGGGGAGCAAAC
rnacentral:rRNA from 1 species